UACGGGGGGGGCAAGCGUUGUUCGGAAUUACUGGGCGUAAAGGGUCCGUAGGUGGCUUGCUAAGUCAGACGUGAAAUCCCUCGGCUUAACCGGGGAACUGCGUCUGAGACUGGCGAGCUUGAGUGCAGGAGAGGAACGCGGAAUUCCAGGUGUAGCGGUGAAAUGCGUAGAUAUUGGGAGGAACACCGGUGGCGAAGGCGGCCCCCUGGACCGGAACUGACGCUGAGGCGCGAAAGCGUGGGUAGCAAACGGG
rnacentral:rRNA from 1 species